rnacentral:rRNA from 1 species
CUGAUCUCAAGAUUCGCCAAGGCACGUCUAAGUACAAACUUCAAUUCGAUAGGGUGAAACUAGCAAAUCGGCUCAUUACAACGGUUAUGAUGUACCCGGGAGUUCCGAUGGAUAUUUCCAGUAACACUAGAACUAAUACAUGUCCCUGCGUUUAUUAGUUUCGCACAGUCCGUCGCUGAGUCAUGGUAAACAGUUGAUCGACUCGACGUCCCGGAACAGUUUCCGCCCCAUCAGCUUCGAUGGUUGGGUAUUGGCCUACCAUUGCAACAACGGGUAACGAGGAAUUAGGGUUUGAUUUCGGAGAGGGAGCCUGAGAAACGGCUACCACAUCUACGGAUGGCAGCAGGCGCGCAAAUUACCCAAUGCAGACACUGUGAGGUAGUGACGAGAAAUAAUAAAGCGGGACUUCUGUUUCGCUAUUAUAAUGAGGAAUAACCAAAGGUCAUUCCGAUUAGCAACUGAUGGGAAAGUCUGGUGCCAGCAGCCGCGGUAAUACCAGC